rnacentral:rRNA from 1 species
GCAUAUCAAUAAGCGGAGGAAAAGAAACCAACAGGGAUUGCCCUAGUAACGGCGAGUGAAGCGGCAACAGCUCAAAUUUGAAAUCUGGCUCUUUCAGGGUCCGAGUUGUAAUUUGCAGAGGGCGCUUUGGCUUUGGCAGCGGUCCAAGUUCCUUGGAACAGGACGUCACAGAGGGUGAGAAUCCCGUACGUGGUCGCUAGCUAUUGCCGUGUAAAGCCCCUUCGACGAGUCGAGUUGUUUGGGAAUGCAGCUCUAAAUGGGAGGUAAAUUUCUUCUAAAGCUAAAUACUGGCCAGAGACCGAUAGCGCACAAGUAGAGUGAUCGAAAGAUGAAAAGCACUUUGGAAAGAGAGUCAAACAGCACGUGAAAUUGUUGAAAGGGAAGCGCUUGCAGCCAGACUUGCUUGCAGUUGCUCAUCCGGACUUUUGUCCGGUGCACUCUUCUGCAGGCAGGCCAGCAUCAGUUUGGGCGGUGGGAUAAAGGUCUCUGUCACGUACCUCUCUUCGGGGAGGCCUUAUAGGGGAGACGACAUACCACCAGCCUGGACUGAGGUCCGCGCAUUUGCUAGGAUGCUGGCGUAAUGGCUGUAAGCGGCCCGUCUUGAAACACGGACCAAGGAGUCUAACAUCUAUGCGAGUGUUUGGGUGUCAAGCCCGAACGCGUAAUGAAAGUGAACGGAGGUGGGAACCCGCAAGGGUGCACCAUCGACCGAUCCUGAUGUCUUCGGAAGGAUUUGAGUAAGAGCAUGGCUGUUGGGACCCGAAAGAUGGUGAACUAUGCUUGAAUAGGGUGAAGCCAGAGGAAACUCUGGUGGAGGCUCGCAGCGGUUCUGACGUGCAAAUCGAUCGUCAAAUUUGGGCAUAGGGGCGAAAGACUAAUCGAACUAUCUAGUAGCUGGUUCCUGCG